AUGCAAAUCAUCUGAGAAUCUUAAUAAACUACAGAUUCUGGUUUAACAGAGCUGGAGCAGGGCCUGAGAUUCUGCAUGGCUAACAAACUUACCGUGAUGCUAAU
rnacentral:pre_miRNA from 1 species